UACGAAGGGGGCUAGCGUUGUUCGGAUUUACUGGGCGUAAAGCGCACGUAGGCGGAUCGUUAAGUCGGGGGUGAAAUCCUGGAGCUCAACUCCAGAACUGCCUUCGAUACUGGCGAUCUUGAGUCCGGAAGGGGUGAGUGGAAUUCCUAGUGUAGAGGUGGAAUUCGUAGAUAUUAGGAAGAACACCAGUGGCGAAGGCGGCUCACUGGUCCGGUACUGACGCUGAGGUGCGAAAGCGUGGGGAGCAAACAGG
rnacentral:rRNA from 1 species